rnacentral:lncRNA from 1 species
AGACCUGGGUUACAUGCUGCUGUUGGAUUCACAUGGCCUGCACCAAUGUCAAAGAGGGUGGAUGGGAAGAACCAAAUAUCAGUAAUGGGCUUGCCUCCAAGGUUAUACAAAUUAGCCGUGGUCAUGAUGGCUGAUUUUAUGGCUGCAGGUGACCAGUCAGGGUGUACACUUUUGAGCAAAGCAGCAACGCCACUAAGAUGAGGGCAAGACAUUGAGGUUCCAGAGAGGAACUCGAACCUGUUGGUAGUAUUGUCAGCUGAAUGUGGCCAAGCAGCUAAAAUUCUCACACCAGGGCCUAUAAUGUCUGGUUUCAAGAUACCAGGACUUGCUGUGCUUGGACCUCUAGAGGAAAAGGAAGCAACUUGAGGAGCCUCUGGCAAGCCAAAUACAGUUCCUUUAAACAAGAUUGUAGCUUUUGGUGAUGAUGUUGCGUUUAUAUAGGCUUUAAUUGCUGAUCCUGCAAUGUAACUCACAUGUGAUGCAGGAAGCACAUGAUUAUCAGCUUGAGUAACAAAGCCCUCAUCCUGAUCAUUCAUUACAAUCAUGGCAGCACCACCAUUGUCUUUAACCUCCUGGCCUUUAGAAACCGUUUCAUAUCCUCCUUCACACAACACUAUUUUACCUUUCACGUUAACAUUUUUUAAUGAUCCUUCGUCACAUGAUGCAGAUCGUGCGUCCCCAUUUGCACCAGCAUAAACUAGAGGAAGCAAUUUUGGAAGAAAACUUUUUGGCUGAAAAAGAGAUUCGCCAUUUAACUCUGCUUUGUUUCCAAGUAAAACUGUUGCUCUUAUAGCUCUGUCUACAGUACUUGCCCCUACAGUUAGAAGCCAUGGUGCCUCAUUGGAUAAAGUUUUACUAUAAGGUCCUUCAUUUCCUGCUGAGCAACUCACAAAGAUCCCUUUUUGAAUGGCUGCAUAUGCAGCAAUUGCAAGAACAUCGUCAUAAAAAGGAUGUGAAUCGCUACCAAUAGAAAGUGAAAGUACAUCAACGCCAUCCUCAACUGCAGCAUCCAUUGCAGCCAGCAAUUCACUCUCACCAGCCUUAUUGUCUCUGCCAGAAACUUUAUACAUUGCCAAGUGUGAUAAUGGCGCCAUUCCAACUGCAGUUCCAUUGGCUUGGCCAAAGUAGCUGACACCUUGCACAGGACUUCCAGCUGCUGUACUGGCUGUGUGUGUCCCAUGCUCAUCCCUAUCCACCAAGUCAUUACUGUUAGUAGCAAAAUUUCUUGCACCGAUGAGCUUGUUGUUGCAUGAUAAUGUUCCUUUCAACUCGCAUUUCCCUUUCCACUUUUCUGGUGGAGGCGGCAUUCCUUCACCACUAAACGAAGGGUGAUCAGCUGUUAUUCCACUGUCGACAACUCCAAUUAUCACACCCUUGCCAUAAUUGGAUUGCUUCCAAAGUCCUAAAUUUUGCUGGAGCCCCAGGAAGCUAGGUGUAUGAGUCGUAUGCAGAGUCAGCAUCCUUUGGGGCCGGGCUAACACCACUCCUUCCUUUAUUUCUAUGGCCUUUGCUUCCUCUGCUGUAAGUUUUGCAGCAAACCCAGUAACCACAUGGUGGUAGGAGUGAAUCAAACGUGGUUGGACUUGGUCUGAGCUAAAGCUGUUAGCUGGCAAAAAUGAUUGAUACCAGCUAUCUAAAUCUUUGGACUCUGUGAACUGUACAUCUUCUGGUUUCAUUAAAAGCACAAUAUAAGUCUCUAAGUUGCUUUCCUCUUCCAGAGUUGCUUCACUUGUUGAUGACCUAACUGGUGUCUCAGAAAUGGCUAUUGAGAACCUAAAGAUGGAAUUGAGAAUAAGGAAAGACAUAAGCAACAUGGUUGGAUAUUUUUUGCAGCUUCUGUUUUCCAUACUAUGGGAACAACUAGAAAGUGUUGCUGCUUCUGAGUUGCUUCAACCUUACUCAAGAGUGCGCAUAUAUAGCAUCUUUAGCCACAGAGAAACACAUUUUUUAAAAGAUUUGGAAUAUUUUUAAAAUAAACAUUUUUAUAUUUAAUAAAAUUUGCAAAAUUAUAAAUACAUUCAUUUUGCAAAUGAGUGAAUUGUUUAUGGUUAUAAUUUUUCUUAGGUUCAAGUCCAAAUUCGUAAUCAAUGUGAAACUAAAGUGACAUGAUGAGGGGCAAACUACAGCCAUGGAGAUUCGUAAUGGUGCUGGUCAAUGUGAAACUAAAGAGAGAUAAUGGGUGGCCAACUACAGCCAUGGGAGACUUGUAAUGGUGCUAGUCAAUGUUAAAAAUAAAGCUUUAAUGGAAGUCUUGGACCAUUGUCGAAACGUGCUUUGGUUAACCAAUAAUCUCAUGGUGGUUUUCAUAUUCACAUAUUAAUUUACCUUUAUUCCACAAAAAAGUAACAUCAUUGCUAUUCCACAAAAAAGUAACAUCAUUGCUUUAAUGGUGGACUAUUCCAUUGCUUUUAUAUAUAUAUUUACAAGAUUUAUUCAGGCUGAGUCAUUUUAACGGGCCACAGAUUCAAUUAAUAUUUAGUUACUCUUAGAGAUAAAAGGGACUGACCCAACAUAAUAAUCAAUCCCGCAAUUACUCUUUCCGCUGCUUACUAAUCCAUUGCUUUAGCUUACACAAACAAUUGGGAUAAUAUAAUUGGGUAGGAACUAUGAAGUCUUUGUUGUUCUAAUUAAUCAACCACAUGCACUAAUGAGAUUUUUAUUAUCUUUUAGAUAAGAUUAAAAAGCUCCAAUUGAUUUUUUAAGCUGAAUAUAUUAUUAAUUUUCCAAUAAAAAAACUAAAGCUUUACAGAAUAAUCCAUGAACAAAGAAUUGCUCAAAGAAUUUCUCAAAAAAAAAAAAUAUCAGCAAAAAGAAUGUUACUUUAAGAACAUGCAUACAUCAUAACUAUGUCAUAGCUCUUCUCUAACAUUUCUCCUUGUCAUAUUGACCGCUGCAAACUCAAAAUCUUUCUCUUAACAAUUCAAACCUGAACUUCUGCAAAUCUUUGGUAAAAAUAUCAGCUAAUUGAUCUUCAAAGGAACAAUGUAAAAUUGCACUUCAUCUCUUUCAACUUCUACUAUAAAAUUGAUAUUUGAUUUUAAUGUGUCUAGUUUUCCCAUGAAGCACAUGAUUUCCCCCAUGGCAACAGCAGGUUAUUGUCACAGAAAACCUCAGUAGUCUUUUAAGAAGUUUCCUAAGACAUAAGACUUGAUUUACAGCAACUGGUGGGUGAAGCACACACACUUUUUCUUUCAUUUCAUCAUAUAUAUAAUUGAAAGAUUUUUACUUUAUAAAUCAAUACUCACUCCCCAAGAAAUAAGGAAGUUUGGAUAAUCGUUUUGAGUUGAAAUUAAGCUCCUCCUCCACUAAUUAGUACAAAAAGACUAAAACUUACACAAUUCCCAAGGAAUUUCUGGAUCUUAAAAAAAAAAAAAAAGCAAAAAAAAGCUACUUUAAAGGCAGCAUAUGUCUAUAAAAGAAUAUGACAAGUGCAAAUUCAGAACUUUAACUUAAACACAGCCAGUCGUUUAAAAUUUGGAGUCGUCUCCUCCAAAAAUCAAGCCAGCUCACCAUUUCGUGUAGAAGACAGCUGAAAAGCAGGUGGGUCGUUUUAGAAAAGCGACAUUAUAUUGGAAAUAAACGUACAAUAAAAAUUGUUCAAUGAAAAAGGCCAGCCGUUUAAUGUGAACCGGAUUUCUUCUAAAAUAAACGGCAAGUUUAGGACAGGUAAAAAUAAUCUGUCUCCCGUUUUGUUUACUUAUUAUUUUUUUUUAGACGCUCCCAAAUAAUUGUAAGAUUUCUAAAUUUAAAUAUAUAAGGAAUUAGUUUACAACCUUUAUAAUUAUUUAUUGAACGAAAGACUUCUGAUAUGUUAAUAAGUUAUUAAAAAUAAAAAAAAAGACAAAAUAACUUUUGUUAAAUUAAAUUUUUAAUAUUUAUAUUUUGCCAAAUUAUGCAAACAAAAUGACACGCCAGUGUAUUUUAAAAUUAAGGGAUACGUUAAACCUGCCGUUUAACAAAGACCACAUCAGGAAACCAUGCUCGCCAUUGAUUCUCUACAAUGCCAAAAGCUUCCAGUCUGAGUUCCUUGUUUUGAUGUAGGUUGUUUUUAUAUACUUUUUGGUUUUUCUAUACUUUUUUUUCUAGUAGCAAUUGAUUGUCAGGGGGAUAACGUGAAGCUAGCGGACAAAAAUGGCUAACUGACCGUAAAAUUCAGAAUUUGCAAGUGAGUUAAUCAGCGAUAUUUGUUCGUCUUACUCAGUAUAGAGUGAUCGACUAUGUGCCAUUCUAUUAGUUUGAUUGUUGGUUCUCGGCUGUGAAAUGACAUUUCUGAUUGUAAUGGUGAUCGCAUUUGGUCGAUAGUGCACAACAAAUGAUUGUGAAUUUACCCAAACUCGUUCCAUUCAGUAGCAGCAAGAACUGCGAGAGAGAACUUUGAAGGUGCAUUUCUGUUUCUAUCAUGUUUACUCUUCAAUUUUGGUGCCGAGAAAUUCGAAGUGAUCUCUUAGUUUCUUUAUUCGAUCUUGGUUGUUGAAUAGAAGCCAACUGGUUUUUAACAAGCAAGUUCACUCCUUUUAUCCAUUAUUAUUUCUAGUAAGGUUUGCAUUGGAUAACCCAUACACCUAUACCCUAUACUUGCUUAUUUAAGUUGGAUAGCAAUUGGGCUCCUAACAAUGUACCCUUCACCCACCCAAUUUAGGUAUCCCUGAGCGUAGGAUCCGUUACCUUUCCCAUUUUUGCGAAAUGUUACCGAGUAUGUAGCUUUCUGGUUCACCUUGCUGAAAAUAAUCUUAUGAGGGGUCACCAUAAUAUCUACACCAUUUGGAGCAACGAUCUCAAGGAAGUAAACUGAGUGAGGCGGGCCAACAUUUGUGACUGUUCUUGUGUAUCUCUGCGGACUAGACCCGAGUACGAUUGAAAAUGAAGGAUAAUUCAGCUGUGCUUCAGGUAUUCUUGUUCUUUUUGAGCACUUCACUUUCUUCUGCACUAUAAUUCUUACAUGUUUGUCUGAAUAACCGAGACCACAUAAAUAAGGAAUGUAAUCUUUAGGUUGGAUGUCGUAAAUAAGUCCUGGAUUAUUUGCUCUUGAUGGGUUCACAUGCCCUGCACCAACAUCAAAGAGAGUGGAUGGAAAGAAUUGAUCGUUAGUAAUGGGUUGGCCUCCAAAAUUAUACAGAUUAGCCGUGGUCAUGAUCGCUGAUUUUAUGGCUGCAGGUGACCAGUCAGGGUGUACACUUUUGAGCAAAGCAGCAAUGCCACUAAGAUGAG